UACGAAGGGGGCUAGCGUUGCUCGGAAUCACUGGGCGUAAAGCGCACGUAGGCGGACUUUUAAGUCGGAGGUGAAAUCCUGGAGCUCAACUCCAGAACUGCCUUUGAUACUGGAGAGCUUGAGUCCGGAAGAGGUGAGUGGAACUCCGAGUGUAGAGGUGAAAUUCGUAGAUAUUCGGAAGAACACCAGUGGCGAAGGCGGCUCACUGGUCCGGUACUGACGCUGAGGUGCGAAAGCGUGGGGAGCAAACAGG
rnacentral:rRNA from 1 species